GUCAUCUAGACCACGGUGGCCACUGCUGUGGUUGGAGCUGUAUUGUUAAAUACAGGAAAAAAACCACCAAGCCCCACCUGGCUGUCACAGCAAAUCAAGAUAAUAAUGUAAUAAAUGUCCAUUUCCACCUGAUCUGGUGUUUCAGAUAAACCUCGUGCCAUUUGUUCUAAAUGCAGGAGUUUGGUACCUCAGUGAAGCUUUGGUCUCUUUUUUAUUCUCUUCCAUCUGAAAAUCACAUUGGAGACUCGCAGCACACAUGAGGAAACUCAGGUAAAUUAAAUC
rnacentral:lncRNA from 1 species